AGGUCCCUACUGCUUAGAAGGACCUAAUUUGGGAGGAUAUUCAGGUGGAAUUUGAAAUCCUAGAGGCUUCAGACCGUGGAGGAGAGAUGGAGGUAGUUUAAAUUAGACCUCACGAGGAAAUGGGCCCUUAUAGCCGAUCAGGACGGUGUGGAGGACACUAUCUGUGAGAAAUACGACAUUAGCAAGGAAAAAUGGGCCCAGUUUUGCCAGACUCGCAGAGACCCUUCUUGGGAGGAUGUGCGCAAAAAGGCACAGGUCAUCCAGAAGCAGAACACUGCCCCCCACGUGCUGUCUCGUGGGGGUUAUGACUAUUUGGAGCAGAAGCUCCUGGAUGAGAAGACCAAGAAGAAGCUGGAGGAAGCUACACAGUCAGGAAGUGCUGAUGGCGUCAUCGACCCUCCAUCCCCGAUCAGACGCCACGUGAAGUGGAAGAUGGCCCGCACGAAGAAAACAGGGGAGAUGGCGACUGAGGCCGCAAAGGAAAUCGCUGAGAAGAUCGUAAGUCAUUUUCAACUAACCAUUAGAAUUAUAUUUCAAUAUUUUGUGAGUUCCAUGUACAACUAUGUUUUCUGUGUAGGAUUCCUUUGAGGAGCAGGCGACACAGGGAUCCUUCGUCCCCCAUGGACAUCAAGAUGUUCUCACCACUGCUAUUGGACGUCCAGAGCACCCUGGAUGUGUCCGUGUUGUUGGAGCCGGUGUCACCAUCAAGCAAUACUUUGGAUCGGCUCCACGGACGUCCCACAGCUCUUCGUCCCUGCCUCCUGAAGAAUUGCAGCAGCUGACCCAUCAAAUCAGGGACCAACUAGAGGAGUCCAUCACAGAAAAAGUGACGCGGCAACUCAUGGCAUCCUUCAGUCAGAUGCAAUCCCAGAUUCAAUCACAGAUGCAAUCUCAGGGACUUGCACUACCUCCUGAGCCUCUGGUAGUUGUGUCUCGGGUAAAACCACCUCCAAAGCCUGAUCCGGAGGUUGAUGAUCCACUUUAUUUGAUGACAUUGACCAUCCUAGAGCUUUUCUUGAGGCCUUAUCAGGUUUCUUGGGAUGACACCGUGUUCGGGGUCUUUAAUCCAGAUUUCCCGCUCUACAUAA